GACGAACGCUGGCGGCGUGCUUAACACAUGCAAAUCGAACGGUAAGGCCCUUCGGGGUACACGAGUGGCGAACGGGUGAGUAACACGUGGGUGAUCUGCCCUGCACUUCGGGAUAAGCCUGGGAAACUGGGUCUAAUACCGGAUAGGACUCCGGACUGCAUGGUCUGGGGUGGAAAGCUUUUGCGGUGUGGGAUGGGCCCGCGGCCUAUUAGCUUGUUGGUGGGGUGAUGGCCUACCAAGGCGACGACGGGUAGCCGGCCUGAGAGGGUGACCGGCCACGCUGGGACUGAGAUACGGCCCAGACUCAUACGGGAGGCAGCAGUGGGGAAUAUUGCACAAUGGGCGCAAGCCUGAUGCAGCGACGCCGCGUGAGGGAUGACGGCCUUCGGGUUGUAAACCUCUUUCAGCAUCGACGAAGCGAAAGUGACGGUAGGUGCAGAAGAAGGACCGGCCAACUACGUGCCAGCCGCCGCAGUAA
rnacentral:rRNA from 1 species